GUUUUAAUAAUUUAAAAAAAAAUCUUGGUCUUGUAAAUCAAAAAUAGGAAAAAAAAAUCCUUUAAAACU
rnacentral:tRNA from 1 species